rnacentral:rRNA from 1 species
UCCGUAGGUGGAUCAAUCAGUCAGUGGUGAAAUCUCAUAGCUUAACUAUGAAACUGCAUUGAUACUGCAGGUCUUGAGUAAGGUAGAAGUAGCUGGAAUAAGUAGUGUAGCGGUGAAAUGCAUAGAUAUUACUUAGAACACCAAUUGCGAAGGCAGGUUACUAUGUCUUAACUGACGCUGAUGGACGAAAGCGUGGGGAGCGAACAGGAUUAGAUACCCUGGUAGUCC